rnacentral:rRNA from 1 species
AACGUACGCUGGCGGCACGCCUAACACAUGCAAGUCGAACGAAGUAGCAAUACUUAGUGGCAGACGGGUGAGUAACAUGUGGGUAUCUGCCCUUUGGCCUGGAAUAACACGAGGAAACUUGUGCUAAUACUGGAUAAGUCUUUACGGAGAAAGCUUUAUGCACCAUUGGAUGAGCCCGCACUUGAUUAGUUUGUUGGUGGGGUAAUGGCCUACCAAGACUGUGAUCAAUAGCUGAUUUGAGAGGAUGAUCAGCCACAUUGGGACUGAGACACGGCCCAAACUCCUACGGGAGGCAGCAGUGGGGAAUCUUGCACAAUGGAGGAAACUCUGAUGCAGCGAUGCCGCGUGAGUGAAGAAGGCCCUUGGGUUGUAAAGCUCUUUCGUCGGGGAAGAAAAUGACUGUACCCGAAUAAGAAGGUCCGGCUAACUUCGUGCCAGCAGCCGCGGUAAUACGAAGGGACCUAGCGUAGUUCGGAAUUACUGGGCUUAAAGAGUUCGUAGGUGGUUGAAAAAGUUGGUGGUGAAAUCCCAGAGCUUAACUCUGGAACUGCCAUCAAAACUUUUCAGCUAGAGUAUGAUAGAGGAAAGCAGAAUUUCUAGUGUAGAGGUGAAAUUCGUAGAUAUUAGAAAGAAUACCAAUUGCGAAGGCAGCUUUCUGGAUCAUUACUGACACUGAGGAACGAAAGCAUGGGUAGCGAAGAGGAUUAGAUACCCUCGUAGUCCAUGCCGUAAACGAUGUGUGUUAGACGUUGGAAAUUUAUUUUCAGUGUCGCAGCGAAAGCGAUAAACACACCGCCUGGGGAGUACGACCGCAAGGUUAAAACUCAAAUGAAUUGACGGGGACCCGCACAAGUAGUGGAGCAUGUGGUUUAAUUCGAAGAUACGCGCAGAACCUUACCAACACUUGACAUGUUCGUCGCGACUUUAAGAGAUUAAAGUUUUCGGUUCGGCCGGACGAAACACAGGUGCUGCAUGGCUGUCGUCAGCUCGUGUCGUGAGAUGUUGGGUUAAGUCCCGCAACGAGCGCAACCCUCACUUUUAGUUGCCAUCAUUAAGUUGGGCACUCUGAAAGAACUGCCAGUGAUAAGCUGGAGGAAGGUGGGGAUGACGUCAAGUCCUCACGGCCCUUACGUGUUGGGCUACACACGUGCUACAAUGGUAUCUACAACAGGAAGCAAGACGGCGACGUUAAGCAAAUCCUUAAAAGAUACCUCAGUUCGGAUUGCACUCUGCAACUCGAGUGCAUGAAGCUGGAAUUACUAGUAAUCGUGGAUCAGCGUGCCACGGUGAAUGCGUUCCCGGGUCUUGUACACACCGCCCGUCACACCAUGGGAGUUGGUUCUACCUUAAGGCAAGGUUUCAAACCCUUGACCACGGUAUAGUCAGCGACUGGGGUG